CGUUUUCGCAUUUGUACGCUAUUAAUUGUAUUUCCCAGAGUCGUUUCGUCGCACUUAUACAUAAAAUCCAAGAAAUAUUUGCGAAACUUUUUCGACAAAAGAGCAAUUUGUUAUACUGUACAUUAUCUUACGAAAGUAGAAUGGAUAACUUAUCCCACGAAUCUUUCUACCUACUCCGACUCUCUCACACGUUUGGACUCAUCCACUUCAGAAGUUUCAGUUUUGGUUUUACUUUUGUAAUUCAUUCUACACUACAGGUAUUUUUCGCAGACAGAUACUGUAGUGUAAGUUACAAUUUCAACAUUACAGUGAGUGAAAGUAGGUGUGUUUUUGCAAGGGAUGAAGAAUACAGUACACUAUUAUAAGUCUACUGUAGAAGAGUUUCUGUUCUUUGUGCAUGUUAAAAUGAUGAAUGCAUCACAAAGUAAAAGGAG
rnacentral:lncRNA from 1 species